rnacentral:hammerhead_ribozyme from 1 species
AUCCGAUUGACGAGUCCCAAAUAGGACGAAACUCGAAUUCUGGGUU